GACGGAGGAUGCAAGUGUUAUCCGGAAUCACUGGGCGUAAAGCGUCUGUAGGUGGUUUCAAAAGUCCACUGUUAAAGAUUGAAGCUUAACUUCAAAAAUGCCGUGGAAACUUUGAAACUUGAGUAUGAUAGGGGUAGAGGGAAUUUCCAGUGAAGUGGUGAAAUGCGUAGAUAUUGGAAAGACCACCAAUGGCGAAGGCACUCUACUGGGCCAUUACUGACACUGAGAGACGAAAGCUAGGGGAGCAAAUGGG
rnacentral:rRNA from 1 species